AUUAAUUGGAUGGUCAUAUCCAAAUUCUUCCUCGGCUUGACUCAACAAGUUUUGAAAUGAAGCUUGGUUCAAGUAUGACGUGGGGAUAACAAACCGCUUCAUUUGCUCUCCAAUGUACACUGCAAGAUAGCCCUUUGGCACAUUCAAUGCUUUUGAUGUUUGACUACUGCUGAAUGAAGCCCGUCUAAUAGCUGCAGGUAAACGGAAACCCAUUUCAAUUUUUUUUGAAGAACAAGACGAAUUUCUCAGAUGUAAGAUAAGUGUAUAUAAGUUUGAUUGCUUGAGUGAUUUGUGAUUGUUGUGAAGGAGGACCCUAUAUUUAUAGUUUCCAAGAGUUUGUUGAAAUCCCUUUGCUAGAGAAAUGAUUGUUAUAAGGCCGGGGCCCAUGAGAUGAGAGAUCACAUGGUGUUGUCUUAGAUGCCACUAUUAAGGAUCAAUAAGUUCUAUAAGAGUGAAAACCCUAUCUUUAGAAUGAAAGGCUCAUGAUAAACUCAAUGCUUGUACAAUAUCUAUUCAUUUCAGACAGGCAUCAGACACGGCACAUGUUCUCUUCACAUUGAUAACGCAACUUAAUGUUGAUGAAUGACCUGAUGAAUUAUGAUAAAAAUAUCAGUCAUACGCAAACACAUUAUUUAUCAAUUGUGCAUAUUUACUGUUCUUGAUUUAGUUUUUGAAGGGCCAGGUUGGAGACAAUAGACAAGCAGACUAUGGUUCACCAAGAGAUCACAUGAUAUUCUCAAGAGGUCUUUCUCAAAGAUUAAAGUGGUAACAAAAAAUCUCUAAAACGAGUUAUCCCAAUACAAAACUGAUUCUACAAUGUAAGCAACUUAAAAGUGAAAAUUCAUCAUCAAUUAUGAAGAUCUAAGAACUACCAAGUUAAUUGAAACACUGCCUUUUCAAUGCAGGAAAGCCUGCAAGAAUACAAAGUAUGGCACAUUUUAAAUACUGCCACUUCAAUGGAAAAGCGAAAAUUUGAAACAUGUUGCAGGAGUCUUUUUUGGGUAGUGGCCGAGGUUUGAACCCCGGACCUUGCAUAUUUUAUGUAUUGUCCCAACCAACUGAGCUAAGCAACACAAAUCAUUCUUACCUCGAAGCAUCAUAAUUCAAGUUCACUUAUUUUUUUCUACUACUUUGAGAUCAUUCUGUUCUGAAGAAGCAAAACAAGAAUGGGUUUUCGUUUACCUGCUAUUAGACGAUCAUCAUUUAGUGCAAGUCAAUCAUCUAACAAACAAGUGGAAGUCCCAAAAGGCCAUCUUGCGGUGUAUGUUGGAGAGAAAAUGCGAAGGUUCAUGAUUCCAAUAUCAUUCUUGAAUGAGCCUUUAUUUCAAGAAUUGCUUAGCCAAGCUGAAGAGGAAUUCGGUUAUUGUCAUCCAAUGGGUGGUCUCACAAUUCCCUGCAAGGAAGACGUAUUCUUACAUACAGCUUCUCUCUUGAACGGUCUAUAAUUAAUUCACAUGAAUGCUAACAUAGUCAUAUGAAUGAUAACAUAUAUAGGACAAUAGGAUUGACCAAUUGAGACAAUUUUUGUACAUCAGCAAUUUUUUUGUCAAUUUUGAUGUUUCCUCUUAAGUGGAAAUCUUAAAUGAGAACUUUAAGAAAUUAUAUUCUUCUGAAUUUAUGUGUUCUUUUUUAGUGUCAUUUCAAAUAAUUGCAUUGCAUGCACAAACACAAGCCAUGCACGAAGACUAGUAAUUCUUUUGCAUAUAUUACGAGGCCAUACAACCCUUUGUUUAAAGAAAAUCUGUCUUAAACUAUAAGGAUAAGCGAAAUGUAAAUGAAGAAAUGAAUAUACCAAUAAUUGAUCAGAUAAACCAAUGUUAGUCACCAAUUAAUCUGUGAUUUGCAUGUUUCUUGUGAUGUUUGAAGAAUGUAGUGAAGAUCACGAUCACAAGGACUUUCCGUGCUCUUCAGAUGGACUUGUCGUAAAAAAUGUUAACAGAAAGCACGUCAUUAGCGGCAACCCUUUUCUCUGAUUUCCUAUCAGGCUUCCACUAAUUAUAAGAGAGUAUGUUUCGUAUUCCUUCGAUCAAAGGAUUGCCAAAAUAAAGUAUGUUAAGAUAAAUUGUUGUAUAUGGAGUUCUGUCAUGCAAGUUUUGAUAAAUAACAACACCAUUCAUAACAAACAGUGAUAAAUAAUAACACAUUUGAGAUAAACAGUAACUAAAAAUGUUAAAAGUAAAAACAUUUUUUCUAGAGUGCAAUUGGCAAUUUUUAGAAUUUGGGUUGAACUUAACUCAACUUUACAAAACCGACUUGUAAGGUGAGGGGCGUCACUCUUUACAAACUCUAAUCGGAUCUUAUUUUUAUUCAACGUGGAACUUGAGUCUUUCCCAAUAGUUAUAUAGAAUUUAUAAUCAUCACAAGCUUGCUUUCAGACGUUAGGUCUGUGUAAGACUAAAUUGAUGAUUGAAUCUCAUGGGACUUGGAAUAGUUAGAGGAGCUUUCAUUUUUAUUAUAGCUUAAUUUCUCUGCCUAGAUGAAAAAGCAGUGGAUAGAAGCACAAGACAAGUAAAAAUUUGUGAGCUUUGAUCCAAGAUAGCUUAUACACUAUAUAGUUUGGCUGAAUGUGUUAUUAUGUCAGAGAAAUUUGCAGGAAUAUUCGAUCUCGAUACUGCUUACAGCACAUACCCUUAUCUCAUCAUUAUAAAAAACCAAGGAAAUUUAGAUAUUGUUUCAUAAUUUUUUUUUCCAAGGAAUCACCAAAUUUAUAGUAUAUAAAUAGAAGCAUAUAGGAUCCAAUUGAGUUGUUGAAUGUAUUCUUUCAUUAUGAUUAUGAUUAGAAUGAAAUUAUAACAAAUAAUUUGUUCCUGAAUGAAUUUGUCAUUCAGAUGGACAAUUCUAACACAUUCCAAAGGUAGGAAAAUGAAAUAAAAUCUUUACAAAUCUAAGCGAUCACUAUUGUACAAAAUUUUCUUUCUAAUCUAUGUCAGUCUCCUAUAGUGUAAGAUUUAUAGCCCAUUGAAGUGAGAAGUAAUAUGCAAGAAAACGUAUUCUGUGCAAGGAAUUGUGAGGCCGCCCAUUGGAUGGUCAUAUCCGAAUUCUUCCUCGGCUUGACUCAACAAAUUUUGAAAUGAAGCUUGGUUCAAGUAUGGCAUGGGGACAACAAACCGUUUCAUUUGCUCUCCAACGUACACUGCAAGAUAGCCCUUUGGCACAUUCAAUACUUUGGAUGUUUGGCUACUGCUAAAGGAAGCCCGUCUAAUAGCUGCAGGUAAACGGAAACCCAUUUCAGUUUUUUUUGAAGAACAAGAUGAAUUUCUCAAAUGUAAGAUAAAUGUAUAUAAGUUUGUUUGCUUGAGUGAUUUGUGAUUGUUGUGAAGGAGGACAUUAUAUUUAUAGUUUCCAAGAGUUUUUUGAAAUCCCUUUGCUAGAGAAAUGAUUGUUAAAAGGACGGGGCCCAUGAGAUGAGAGAUCACAUGGUGUUGUCUUAGAUGCCUCUAUUAAGGAUCAAUAAGUUCUAUAAGAGUGAAAACCCUAUCUUCAGCAUGAAAGGCUCAUGGUAAACUCAAUGCUUGUACAAUACCUAUUCAUUUCAUUUCAGACAGGCAUCAGACACGGCACAUGUUCUCUUCAUAUUGAUAACACAACUUAAUGUUGAUGAAUGACCUGACGAAUUAUGCUAAAAAUAUCAGUCAUAAACAAACAUUAUUUAUCAACUGUGCAUAUUUACUGUUCUUGUUUUAGUUUUUGAAGGGCCAGGUUGGAGAUAAUGGACAAGCAGACUAUCGUUCACCAGAGAUCACAUGAUGCUCUCAAGAGGUCUUUCUCAAAGAUUGAAUGAUUGCUUGAACUUGAGAGAGUAAUUAAAUGUAUGUUGCACAUUACGAACUUGGUUAUUACAAAGGUUAAAAAAAGUUUAUAACAAAACUGUAGGUGUCCUACAAAAUUAAUUUAGCAGACAUGGACAGCAAUGUAAGGGACUUGAAAAAGAGGAUAGAACCCCCAGUUUUGAAUGUGAAUUGCUUUUCUUAGAAGACAAAGUUUUGAUUGUAGUGGUAAAACAUCCCAAUGAGAAGUGCUUUGCUCAAAACAUGCAGUGCAUGGGAAACUCUCAAAAGAAAAAUUCGGAACAUUCAUGCAUUGGUUUUUUUAAUUAUACCAAUGUUUUUAUUGUGUUCCUUCACAUUUUUGCUCAACAUGCAGUGCAUGGCAAGUUUGAACAGUGUAUCCAAAACAUGUCCUAAUUACUAGCUAGUGAUUAGUCAAAUGUUUGGCUCAACUGCAUGACCGCAGCUUCAAAGUAGAUUUCAUGGUUUAAGAGACAACAGCUUCAAAGUAGAUUUCAUGGUUUAAUUAUGCGUUGGAUUUCAAGCAAUAAUAGCCACCAAGUGUUCAAUUCUAUAGAAACCAGGACAAAAUACUUGAUAAGUAUGUUUAGAUCUUGUCUGAAACAUGUAAAGAAGGUCUCUUUCACAAGCCUAAUCCUAAGUGAAAACCUCCAAGACAGUGUUCCAUGUGAUCAUUAAUGAGCCAUGUCUCCAACUAAACCCAUUGAACAGCUCCUUCACCAUACAAUCGGUUUGCAAAGUCUAUAUAUACCCACCAUUGGGUUUAGAAGCAACACAAAUCAUUCUUACCCCGAAGCAUCAUAAUUCAAGUUCACUUAUUUUUUCUACUACUUCUUUGAGAUCAUUCUGUUGUGAAGAAGCAAAAAAAGAAUGGGUUUUCGCUUACCUGGUAUUAGACGAUCAUCAUUUAGUGCAAGUCAAUCAUCUAGCAAACAAGUGGAAGUCCCAAAAGGCCAUCUUGCAGUGUAUGUUGGAGAGAAAAUGAGAAGGUUCAUGAUUCCAAUAUCAUUCUUGAAUGAGCCUUUAUUUCAAGAAUUGCUUAGCCAAGCUGAAGAGGAAUUCGGUUAUUGUCAUCCAAUGGGAGGUCUUACAAUUCCCUGCAAGGAAGACAUGUUCUUACAUACAGCUUCUGUCUUGAACAGGAUAUAACAAAUUUGUAUGAUUGAUAACAUAGAUAGGAAUGAUAACAUAGGAGAGUAGGAUUGACCAGUUGAGACAAUUUUUGUACAUCAGCAACUUCUUUGUCAAUUUUGAUGUUUCCUCUUAAGUUGAAAUCAUAAAUGAGAACCUUAUGAAACUAUAUUCUUGUGAAUUUAUGUGUUGUUUUUUGUGUCAUCUCAAAUAAUUGCAUUGCAUGCACAAACACAAGCCAUGUACCAAGACUGGUAAUUGUUUCACAUACAGUACGAGGCCAUACAAACCUUUCUUUUAACUAUAAGGAUAAGUGAAAUGUAAAUGAAGAAAUGAACAUACCAAUAAUUGAUAACAUAAACCAACGUUAUAAUUAAGCGUAACAAUAAGUGCAAAAGGUAAUUCUUAGAAUUUGGGUUGGACCUAGCGUAACAUUUCAAAACCGGCUUGUAAGUGAGGGGUGCUAGUAUUUAUAACAUCUUAUCGCCAUCCGACCUUAUCUUUAUUCAAUGUGGGACUGGGUUCUUUUCCUAGUGAAUUUUUUUUUCACAAGCUUCUCGACCGUCCUAUUUUUGGACUCUAAAAUCCGAAAAUGGAAGAUUUUUUAACAUAUUUUACGCUUUCGGAAUAUACAAUCCGAAAUGCCAUAGGGCAUGAGAGCGUCAAGUGGUGUGGGAUAAGAAAUUCCCUGUUUUCAAAAGUAGUAUAAGAAAUUCCCUUUAUAAUCAUCACAAGCUUGCUUUCAGAGGUUGGGUUUGUGUAAGUUGGUGAUUGAAUCCCACGGAACUUGGAAUAGUUGGAAGAGCUUUCUUAUUUAUUUUAGCUUAGUUGUUUUGCCUAGAUGAAGAAUCAGUUGAUAGAAGCACAGGACAUGUAAAAGAAAUUGAGCUUAGAUCGAAUAUAACUUAUCAACUAUUACAGUUUGGUUGAAUGUUUCACUAGGUAAGAGAAACUUGCAAGAAUAUUCGAGCUCUGAUAUUAGUUACAGCACAUACCAUUAUGUCAUCAUUACAAUAAACCAAGGAAAUCUAAAUUUUGUUUCAUAAUUGCUUUUUAUUUUUUUUCCAAGGAAUCACCUGUUUUAUAAUUUAUAAAUAGAAGCGUAUAGGAACUCGUUGAGUUGUUGAAUGCCUUUUGUCAUUAUGAUUAGAAAUAAAUAAUAACAAAUAAUUUGUUCCUGAAUGAAUUUUCCAUUCAGAUGGACAAUUCUAAACCAUUCCUAAAGUAGGAAAAUGAAACAAAAUCUUUACAAUCUAAAUGAUGACUAUUGUACAAAAUUUUCUUGCUAAUCUAUGUCAGUCUCCUUUAGUGUAAGAUUUAUAGCCCAUUGAAGUGAGAAGUAAUAUGCAAGAAAACGUCUUCUGUGCAAGGAAUUGUGAGGCCGCCCAUUGGAUGGUCAUAUCCGAAUUCUUCCUCGGCUUGACUCAACAGGUUUUGAAAUGAAGCUUGGUUCAAGUAUGACGUGGGGAUAACAAAUCGCUUCAUUUGCUCUCCAACGUACACUGCAAGAUAGCCCUUUGGCACAUUCAAUACUUUUGAUGUUUGGCUACUGCUGAAUGAAGCCCGUCUAAUAGCUGCAGAUAAACGAAAACCCAUUUCAAAUGUUUUGAUGAACAAGAUGAAUUUCUCAGAUGUAAGAUAAAUGUAUAUAAGUUUGAUUGUUUGAGUGAUUUGUGAUUGUUGUGAAGGAGGACACUAUAUUUAUAGUUUACAAGAGUUUCUUGAAAUCCCUUUGCUAGAGAAAUAAUUGUUAAAAGGACGGGGCCCAUGAGAUGAGAGAUCACAUGGUGUUGUCUUGGAUGCCAGUAUUAAGGAUCAAUAAGUUCAAUAAGAGUGAAAACCCCACUUUUGGAAUGAAAGGUUCCUGUUAAACUCAAAGCUUGUACAAUGCCUACUCAUUUCAGAAAUGCAUCAGACAUGGAACAUGUUCUGUUCACAUUGAUAACACAACUUAUGGUUCUUGAUUUAGUUGGAGACAAUAGACAACAAGCAGACUAUGGUUCACAAGAAAUCAGAUGAUACUCUCAUAAGGUCUUUAUCAAAGAUUGAAUGAUUGCUCAAGACUUGAGACAAUAAUUAAAUAUAUGUCCCACAUUAAGAAAGCUGGUCGUUACAAUUUACAAAGGCUAAAAAUUUCUGAUAACAAAACUGUAGGCGGCCUACAAAAUUAAUUUAGCAGACAUAGACAACAAUGUUUGUGGAAAAUUCUAAAUCAUUAUUCAAGAUUGACAUUUGUUGUUUCUUGAUAAUAAAGAGAUACAAAUGGGCCAUACUGUUAGUUUGAGGUAUGGUGUCGACCACUCAUCUGUGGGCUGUGUGAUGGAAACCUAAUUGGUUCGAUUCACAUUUCCUACCAAAUACCUUAUGAAUUAUGAUCGUUUUUUGUGCAAAACGUAUAAAACUUUGUACUACGGAAAUCUGGUUGUGAGUCCACUUAUCAGAAUUAAAUACUACAAGCUCACGCUUUAUGGUAACAACAAACCUCUGAAGCGACUUAUCCCAAUACAAAAACUGAUACUACAAUGUAAGGAACUUAAAAUGAAAGUUCCUCAUGAAUUAUGAAUAAGAUGUAACUAACUACCAAGCUAGUUGGGACACCCGGCUUUUCAACGCAGUGAAGUUUGCAAGAAUACAAAGUAUGACACAUUUUAAAUUCUGCUAGAUCCGUGGAAGAGUGAAAACACGAAACACAGUGGAUCUUUUGAUUGUUAGAUUGGAAUUCAAUCAUGUUGCAUGAGUCUAUCCAUAUACAGACUUGCAACAGCUUCCAAGUAUAUUUCAUGGUUGAUUGAAUUUAAAACAAUAAUAGCAACCAGUUUUCCUAUCCCAAGGACAAAAUACUUGUUAUGUUUAGAGAUUGUCUGAAACAUGUGAAACAAGUCUCUUUCACAAGCCUAAUCCUUAGUGAAAACCUCCAAGACAGUGCCAUGUGAUCAUUAUUGAACCAUGUCUCCAGCUAAACCCAUCGAACACCUCAUUCACCAUACAAUUGGUUUGCA
rnacentral:lncRNA from 1 species